rnacentral:lncRNA from 1 species
GGAUAUUAGAGACUUUCUUCAUUGAAUGUAGAAAGCAAGGGGAAGAACCCUUGAUAGAAGUAUCCCAAAAAUUCUACCUUCUAACUUUAUAUAUUGAACCCCGCCAAUGAGGAAUGAUAUAUUUUAAAGCAUGCCCUCAACAUGAGUCAAUUCUAAUAAUUUUAGCUUCUAGUAACUUGCAUUUAGAUUGAUAAAAAUUUAUAUGAUGUCGAUGUGGUUAAUGGAAGAUGAGAAGAACGUAAAUUGAUAGUGUUAUUAAGAGAAAUCAAGGUUCACACUUAGUCACGCCGAGGGCCUUUUAAUGACUAAGAGCCAUAUAGGUACCCUAGGGACAAGCGGCCUUUCCUCGAGCAUUCAUAGGAUGAGUCAUGAGUUCUUAUAGACACAUAUGUUGGAAAAUUAGGCGGGAUCUUCACUCUUUUCCUAGUAAUGGACUUUGGCGAAGUGUGUGUUCAUUGAGGUCUUUGGUUGAAUAUGAUAGGUGCUGGUGAACUAUGGUGAGGUGUAUAACAAAGCAUGUUUCUCUUUCUAGUAUCUACGCAUUCACCCGGAUUUAAGAGGGAACUCAAAAUUUAGUGCACAUUUGCAAAUCUUAGCAGUGGUGGCGCCAUCUUUGAUUGUGAUUAUUAUUCUUUUUUAUCUAAAAACUUUACCCACACGAACCACACUAACAAUUGUUGGUUGUAUUG